UCCUACGGGAGGCAGCAGUGGGGAAUUUUGGACAAUGGGCGCAAGCCUGAUCCAGCCAUGCCGCGUGAGUGAAGAAGGCCUUCGGGUUGUAAAGCUCUUUCGGCCGGGAAGAAAGCGCACGGGUUAAUACCCUGUGCGGAUGACGGUACCGGCAUAAGAAGCACCGGCUAACUACGUGCCAGCAGCCGCGGUAAUACGUAGGGUGCGAGCGUUAAUCGGAAUUACUGGGCGUAAAGCGUGCGCAGGCGGUUUUUUAAGACAGGCGUGAAAUCCCCGGGCUCAACCUGGGAACUGCGCUUGUGACUGGAAGGCUAGAGUACGGCAGAGGGGGGUGGAAUUCCACGUGUAGCAGUGAAAUGCGUAGAGAUGUGGAGGAACACCAAUGGCGAAGGCAGCCCCCUGGGUCGAUACUGACGCUCAUGCACGAAAGCGUGGGUAGCAAACAGGAUUAGAUACCCCUGUAGUCC
rnacentral:rRNA from 1 species